rnacentral:lncRNA from 1 species
GAACUCCCAUUUUUACCCUGUAUACAGAUUGCAGAAUCACAUCAGUUAUACAUCCAUUGAUUUACAUAUUGCCAUACUAGUGUCUGUUGUGUUCUGCUGCCUUUCCUAUCCUCUACUAUCCCCCCUCUAAAUGAUUAUUGUUUUAAGCCACUGAGUUUUGGGGUAAUGUGCUACACAGGAGUAGAAAAAUAAUACAUUUAAUUUCUAGGAAUCUUUCAUAGGGAAACAAAGACUUGGACAAGGUCAUAUAAACAGGAUACUCAUAACAGUUUAAUUUAAAGAGUAAAUAAAAAUUUUGAAAUAGUCUAUCCAAAUCCAACUGUAAGAAAAUGUUUAAAUAAAUUAUGAUGCAUCCAUAUUUCCAUAAAGAAAAGUACCUAUAGUUUCAAAAAGAAAGUUGAGUAAUUGUUAUACAGAUUAUUAAAAACAAUCAAUUAUAUGCUUACAUAAAUAAAGAUGAUUAAGAACAAAAAUGUUUACAUAUCUAAUAAAGAACAGUACCCAGCACAUAUAAGAAUGUUUACCAGAGCUGGUGGAGCACUUGCCUAGCAUGUGUGAGGCACUGAGUUCAACUCUGAACACCACAUAAAAAUAAAUAAAUAAAAUAUAAGUACUGUGUCC